UGGUGGUGCCCCAUUCAAGAGCUUCCACACAUUUCUUCACUCGUUUUCAGACCCUGUGAGGCCACAUCAAGCAGUUGUUCAUCACAACCGUCCAACUAUGUUGCCCGGUCUCUGUGACCACGAUCGCUCAAAUGGGAUCAGAGGCCAUAAUACGUGUAAGCCCUCUUGAUAUUGAGGAUCGAAAUCAGGCUCCCAGGAGACCAGCAGCGCAUCAAUGUCCUCUGCCCACCAGCUCGGAGUUUCUGUUUCGGGCAUAAUGAAAACGACCUGCAAGGAGAAUUUAAUCACCUUCAGUUGAUGCUACCUGAAGGAUGUGGUUCAAGCAUAGGGUGUCGUGAGCAGGAAAACCCUCAAGCAGGUCAGCCGAUCAGCAGCCUCUACACCCCAAAAAGCUACUGUUUCUCACAAUUAGAGAGGCAGCUUCCGGGAGCGGAUUCAAGAGAGACUCAAGUUCCAGUGAGGACUACUCAAGUGACAGCCACUCUGACAGUGAUGAGGAGCAAGAACAGUGGAUGGAGAAAACAGCAGAUUUGGGAAGGCCUCAUUGCCAGGUGAAUGUACUGCCAUGGCUGCCUACAUGAACGUUGAGGCUGGCUAGCGUCAUGGUGCGAGUGGACUGACCGAUGAAAUUUCCAACGUGAAAAAGCAGGCUAUGUCAUAAGUAGCACAGACCUCCUCAAAUGGAAGCUGUGGGUAUGCCCCAGGAG